rnacentral:misc_RNA from 1 species
UUUCCGUAGGUGAACCUGCGGAAGGAUCAUUCAUAAUAAGUGUUUUACUGCACUUUUUAAAAAUAGAACUCACCUUGUGAGCAAUGUUGUGUUUCUUUUCGGAGAAACACCUACACCAACCUAUAACCUUGAACCACUUUGUCUGAAAAACUAUUAUGAAUACUUAAUUCAAAAUACAACUUUCAACAACGGAUCUCUUGGCUCUC